GGGCGUGUAACUCAGCGGAUAGAGUGUCAGAUUCCGAUUCUGAAAGUCGAAGGUUCAAUUCCUUCCAUGCUCA
rnacentral:tRNA from 1 species